rfam:Salmo salar isolate Sally breed double haploid chromosome ssa04, whole genome shotgun sequence.
AAUGCACCAAUUAGUAAAUCGCUCUGGAUAAGAGCGUCUGCUAAAUGACGUAAA